rnacentral:rRNA from 1 species
AACGAACGCUGGCGGCAUGCCUAACACAUGCAAGUCGAACGAGACCUUCGGGUCUAGUGGCGCACGGGUGCGUAACGCGUGGGAACCUGCCCGUAGGUUCGGAAUAACUCCCCGAAGGGGGUGCUAAUACCGGAUAAUGUCUUCGGACCAAAGAUUUAUCGCCUUUGGAUGGGCCCGCGUUGGAUUAGCUAGUUGGUAGGGUAAAAGCCUACCAAGGCGACGAUCCAUAGCUGGUCUGAGAGGAUGAUCAGCCACACUGGGACUGAGACACGGCCCAGACUCCUACGGGAGGCAGCAGUGGGGAAUAUUGGACACUGGGCGAAAGCCCGAUCCAGCAAUGCCGCGUGAGUGAUGAAGGCCUUAGGGUUGUAAAGCUCUUUUACCCGGGAUGAUAAUGACAGUACCGGGAGAAUAAGCUCCGGCUAACUCCGUG